ACCUGUGGGGCCGCGCCUGCGCGACACAGGGCGGAAGUGUUUUUGUGCCGUGCUAGUAGAACGAGAGCAAGAACUCAAUUUGUGCUGUGCUACCAUGUCCCAAGAGUAUUUACUUAUAUCCUCACUAAGACCCCCGCCUUUCUCCUUGAAGAUCGAUUUUGCUGGAAGUAACCUUGUGAUGGGACUCCCUGGGGAAAUGGAGACGCCACGUGGUUGAGUUUCUGCUCUGCCGCCUACAGUGAGAGCGGCGGAGGCACCGAAAGCGGCCCCAUCCAGAACUGCGUAGUAUGUCCGUCACGCUUUCCCAGGCUGGCCUUUCCGAAUUGUAAUUUCAGACGGCGAUAGCAGCACUCAACUCCACCACUGUAGUCAGAGAAUCAAAGGCGGUCUGAAUUGCAAGGCCAUUGGGUCCGUUCCCAUCCCCACGUUACAGAUCUCCCUUUAGAGGUCGCCCUUCUCGAAGUCGGACGUCCGUCCUGGACCCGCACUUGUCCCUACACUCCCCUCGCUGUCAUCCCGACUGAGCCUGCCCACCCACGACUCGUCAGUCCCCUGCUCUGCGAGCUGUACUCUUCGCCAUCUGAAAGCUGGAGCUUUUGAAGAGCCCCACCACCUUCACCUGCAGCGGCUGCUCGGGCGGAGACCCCGACUCGCACUGGGCAGGCCUGGGCCGGCGCGGCGCCGGGCUCGCCAUGGCGGCGCUCGGGGAUGCCGCGGAGCACAAACACUGCGCGCCGCCAAGGCAACCGCGCGGCCCCGCCCCCGCCGCUCUCAGGGGGCGGGGCAGGGGGCGGGGCGCAGGGCUGCUGGCGUCCGCGGGGCCUUUCCUCAAUUUCGCGCCUGAAUUUCCUGCCUGUUGCUGGUGAGACCCGCAAGGGGCCGGCCUGGGACCAGCUUCUGGGACAAGAAACGGGAAGCCUCUCGUCCGGGCGCCCUCUUGGGAACCCCA